rnacentral:rRNA from 1 species
CUCCGGUUGAUCCUGCCGGACCCGACUGCUAUCAGAGUGGGACUAAGCCAUGCGAGUCAACAUAGCAAUAUGUGGCAUACGGCUCAGUAACACGUAGUCAACAUGCCCAGGGGACGUGGAUAACCUCGGGAAACUGAGGAUAAACCGCGAUAGGUCAUCACUUCUGGAAUGGGUAAUGACUUAAAUCUAUAUGGCCCCUGGAUUGGACUGCGGCCGAUCAGGCUGUUGGUGAGGUAAUGGCCCACCAAACCUGUAACCGGUACGGGCUCUGAGAGGAGGAGCCCGGAGAUGGGCACUGAGACAAGGGCCCAGGCCCUAUGGGGCGCAGCAGGCGCGAAACCUCUGCAAUAGGCGAAAGCCUGACAGGGUUACUCUGAGUGAUUUCCGUUAAGGAGAUCUUUUGGCACCUCUAAAAAUGGUGCAGAAUAAGGGGUGGGCAAGUCUGGUGUCAGCCGCCGCGGUAAUACCAGCACCCCGAGUGGUCGGGACGUUUAUUGGGCCUAAAGCAUCCGUAGCCGGUUCUGCAAGUCUUCCGUUAAAUCCACCUGCUCAACAGAUGGGCUGCGGAGGAUACUACAGGGCUAGGAGGCGGGAGAGGCAAGCGGUACUCAGUGGGUAGGGGUAAAAUCCUCUGAUCCACUGAAGACCACCAGUGGCGAAGGCGGCUUGCCAGAACGCGCUCGACGGUGAGGGAUGAAAGCUGGGGGAGCAAACCGGAUUAGAUACCCGGGUAGUCCCAGCUGUAAACGAUGCAGACUCGGUGAUGGGUUGGCCUCGCGCCUGCCCAGUGCCGCAGGGAAGCCGUUAAGUCUGCCGCCUGGGGAGUACGGUCGCAAGACUGAAACUUAAAGGAAUUGGCGGGGGAGCA